rnacentral:rRNA from 1 species
UGCAAGUCGAGCGGUAGAGAGAAGCUUGCUUCUCUUGAGAGCGGCGGACGGGUGAGUAAUGCCUGGGAAUCUGCCUGGUAGUGGGGGAUAACGUUCGGAAACGGACGCUAAUACCGCAUACGUCCUACGGGAGAAAGCAGGGGACCUUCGGGCCUUGCGCUAUCAGAUGAGCCUAGGUCGGAUUAGCUAGUUGGUGAGGUAAUGGCUCACCAAGGCGACGAUCCGUAACUGGUCUGAGAGGAUGAUCAGUCACACUGGAACUGAGACACGGUCCAGACUCCUACGGGAGGCAGCAGUGGGGAAUAUUGGACAAUGGGCGAAAGCCUGAUCCAGCCAUGCCGCGUGUGUGAAGAAGGUCUUCGGAUUGUAAAGCACUUUAAGUUGGGAGGAAGGGCUGUUACCUAAUACGUAAUGGUUUUGACGUUACCGACAGAAUAAGCACCGGCUAACUCUGUGCCAGCAGCCGCGGUAAUACAGAGGGUGCAAGCGUUAAUCGGAAUUACUGGGCGUAAAGCGCGCGUAGGUGGUUUGUUAAGUUGGAUGUGAAAUCCCCGGGCUCAACCUGGGAACUGCAUUCAAAACUGACUGACUAGAGUAUGGUAGAGGGUGGUGGAAUUUCCUGUGUAGCGGUGAAAUGCGUAGAUAUAGGAAGGAACACCAGUGGCGAAGGCGACCACCUGGACUGAUACUGACACUGAGGUGCGAAAGCGUGGGGAGCAAACAGGAUUAGAUACCCUGGUAGUCCACGCCGUAAACGAUGUCAACUAGCCGUUGGGAGCCUUGAGCUCUUAGUGGCGCAGCUAACGCAUUAAGUUGACCGCCUGGGGAGUACGGCCGCAAGGUUAAAACUCAAAUGAAUUGACG